rnacentral:tRNA from 1 species
GCCGGGGUCGCCUAGCCUGGCCAGGGCGCCGGACUCAUAAUCCGGUUUUACCCGGGUUCAAAUCCCGGCCCCGGCA